rnacentral:pre_miRNA from 1 species
AGCAAGAUUGCUAUGCUAUAUGAUAAGAGUAUGUUUAGCUUUAUAAGAAAUUGCCAAAUUAUUUUCCAAAGUGGCUUUAUCAUUUUGCACUCCCACUAGCAAU